UACGUAGGGGGCUAGCGUUGUCCGGAAUCAUUGGGCGUAAGCGCGUGUAGGCGGCCCGGUAAGUCCGCUGUAAAAGUCGGGGGCUCAACCCUCGAAAGCCGGUGGAUACUGUCGGGCUAGAGUACGGAAGAGGCGAGUGGAAUUCCUGGUGUAGCGGUGAAAUGCGUAGAUAUCGUAAGGAAGACCAGUGGCGAAGGCGGGUCUCUGGACAGUUCCUGACGCUGAGGCACGAAGGUCAGGGGGAGCAAACGGG
rnacentral:rRNA from 1 species